rnacentral:rRNA from 1 species
CCUACGGGCGGCAGCAGUGGGGAAUAUUGGUCAAUGGACGAAAGUCUGAUCCAGCCAAGUAGCGUGAAGGAUGACGGCCCUAGGGGUUGUAAGCUUCUUUUAUGUGGAGGUAGAAUUUUCCGCGUUUAGGAUUUUGUAUGUACCAUAUGAAUAAGGAUCGGCUAACUCCGUGCCCGCAGCCGCGGUAAUACGGAGGAUGCGAUCGUUGUCCGGAUUUAUUGGGGUGAAAGGGAACGGAGGUGGAUUGUUAAGUCAGUUGUGAAAGUUUGCGGCUCAACCGUAAAAUUGCAGUUGAAACUGGCAGUCGUGAGUACAGUAGAGGUGGGUGGAAUUCGUGGUGUAGCGGUGAAAUGCGUAGAUAUCACGAAGAAUUCCGAUUGCGAAGGCAGCCCACUGGACUGCAACUGACACUGAGGCUCGAAAGUGUGGGUAUCAAACAGGAUUAGAUACCCGAGUAGUC